GCUUUUGUUCAUAUUCCAUGUUAUUACAGCUUCUCCCAACAAACUAGGAAGGUUAUGCAUGCCGUGAGGGACUCAAAAUCUGCAAGGUUUCAUCCUCCACUUCAUUUAUUCAUUUCUUUUGCAGAUGUAUGACAACUAGAAGAUGCCUUAUUCCAUCCAUCCAUUCAUUUAUAUGCCUUGUUCCAUCCAUCCAUUCAUUUAUCACCAAAAUCCAAGCACCUGAUCAGCCACCAAUGGGAUUCAAGGUAAAACGGCCUACUUUUGUUAUCCUCAUUUUGCAUGGAUUGCAUGCAGACUUUCCUUUAUCAACCUGAAUGAAUUUUCCACUUGUGGUAUGCUUUAUCCGUUUCUCCUUAUAUUUAUUUUCCCCUCUUUGGUAAUCUUCUCUAGCAAUUGUUCUCUCAAAUUAAAUGUAUAAAAACAUGUACAAAUUGAAACCUCCAUUUUAGACCAAUCCUUGUUUAUGCCAUUUUUGUAAAAUAUGUUUCCUUUGCUAUAGUCAAUUCCUUGAAUCACUCUACGAGGCUCAAAACUCCUAUAUGAUUAUUUGACUUGGGGUUGUAACUAUUACAUUUGCCUUCAAUUCUGUCUAGUUUUCCACAGGGAUUUUGCGAGAUAUUGUUCCAUUUGAUCCAUCUACAUCCAUGUCUUUUCUGUUCUAUCAACUGUGUAAAUCUUUAAUGUGGAUAGGUUUGAUUUAUAUCAUCUUCAUAGCAUGUGGGUAUGUUGAGGGCAGAGCAGAGCAAUGUACUAUUUUCUAUUCCUGAGAACUGAAAAUAUGCCCAGAAAACAUGUUUGGUACCGCAUUUUUUCAUGCUUUUAUUUUCAGUCUCUUUAAGAAAAUUUAAGUUCUGGAAUCUUCGUAAUGUUUUGAGGAUUGGGAAUCAGGUGAUGGUAUCUAUUUUCGCAGGAUGACUGAAUUGAUUUGUUGUCAUAGCAGGUAGGGUUUUUUCUCUGUUCAGUCUAGUUGAAGAUGACUUUUGAUGGUGGGGGGUAACGGGAAUUAUAGGGCCUCUUUGGUAACAGUUUUUGAGAACGGUUCUCAAAGAACAAUUAUUAGAAGCAGUUUUCAACUGUUUUCAAGAACAAAAUUUGUUUAAAAGCUCAAAUUGUUUUUUCUUUGUACUAAAGAACAUGCAACUGUUUUCAAGAUCACUUACCAAACAGACCCCAAGACUUUGUCUUUGAGGUUGAAACAAAAUGUGAUGACAGUAAAGGGUGAGAGUAUUGUAACGUUGUACUCGGUGAUACGUGUAAAUGGGUGGAUUUGAUUGUAUAAUAAGGGUGUGUUUGGGAGGCUUUUUAUUUGAAGCAUUUUCUUUAGAAACGUUUUUAGUCUUGUCGAGAGCUAUAAAUGAUUUUUAAUUUUUAAAAAUACCUAAUUUUUUUUCUUUCAAAAACCUUUUUGUACGUUAGAAAUAUUUUAAAAAAUAAUUAUGUUAAUAUUUUCUAGGAAUUUGUCCCUUGUUACUAUUAUCAUGGAUUCGAUGGGGAAAAAGUUGAUGUGUGAAGGAAAACGAUUUGGAUGAGAGUGCUCUUGAUAAACACGUUCAUUUGAGAGUGAUUUUAAGAUGGAGCAAAAGCAUUUCAUAAUGUUUAGAAACGCUUUCUUAGGUGUUUGAUAAAUUUUUAAAAAUUCAAAGAAUGAUUUGAAAUGAUAUUCAUAAACAACGAUUUAGAUCAUUUUUACAAAAAUCACCUUUGAUUAUAUACAAAGUAUUAAAAAAUAUAUUAUCCUAACAUUGAUUCCUCAACUGUUUUUAAUGGAAGCAUUGAUAACAAAAAUACAUUAGAUCACUAAAUCUUUCGACUGGACUGUAGAGUAAAAAUGUUUUUAUCCUUUCUACUAUUUGAAAAUUUUUAUGUAAUAGAAAAUUUUUAUUUUAGAAAUAUUAAAAAUACUUUUUAAAAUCAACGGCAAACAUGCUCUUCUGUUUGGUAAUUUAAAAAACACUUUUUAGUACAAAAGUGUCUUUGAAGAAAAAUAAGCAUUUCGCAAUUUAAAAAAGGUUAAAAAAGAUAGUGUUUUUUUAAGAACAUUGGAUAAAUAAUUCUUUUAAAAAUAUCUAUAAAAAAUGUUUUCACUAUUCAAAUAUAAAUACUCUUAAGGCACGUUUAUUUUCUCUAGAAACAUUUUUUUCAAAAGAAUUGCUUACCAAAUACUACUACAAAAAGCACUCUAUAAAUGAUUUUUUUAACUUUUUAGAAGUGUUUAAUAAAUUUUAUUGAUUUUUUUUCCAAAAAAAACCUUUUUAUACUGAGGGUGUUCUCUAAAAGCAUCGUUAAACAAACUCUUAUAAGGUUGCAGAAAGCUUCUAAUCAAAAUUCAAAGUUUCAACCAUUUAAAGAAGCAUUCAACAAAAAAAUCAAUCGCAAGUUUCGAUCCAACAAGGCGACCCGCAAAAGCGAAAACGACUAUGUUGUUGCUUUUCUGGAUUUGCAUUAGGUUUUUGAAGUUAAUUGUUCAAGGGUUAACAUAAAUGCGAUUCUAAUAAACAAAGACCUAUUCCAUAUUUCAGUGAUAAGCUUAAUCAUACAAAUAAGAGCUCAAUAAUCAGCCUACCGCCAUGAGUUCCAAGUAGUAUUAUUUCAUUUGUAAUAUCACAAGAAUGCAGCAAGAAUCUAUUUGUAUAAGGAGUUUUAGGUUACCUCUUCAAGUAGCUUUGCUGAAAGAAUUCUUUCAAUGACAAGAUGUAGCGAUGUAGUCCAUGGAUCAGACCAUGACUUGGUUUCUGAAUACCAGCUAUCAGCCCCCGAUAAUCUGACAAUGUGGCAUCAGACAAUGGCUCCAAGAACUCGCAGUGAGCCAAAAUUUCAGGUGGGGGCAUUCCAGCAAUGAGGUUGGUUUCCAGUUUUGGUUUCCCCUUGGUGAGCUCUCUAGGGGCUUCAACUGAGGCACAUUCAAUUGCAGAGGGGGAUGCACCGGGGAUUACUUCCUCUGUGAAAGGAAAAGCUCUUGCAGCUUGCAAGCAGAACUCUAUCCAUUGAUGGAUUACUGGAGAUGGCCCUCUGACUCGGCCCCCGAUUUGGCGGCUUCUUUCAAGUUUUGAAGUAGAUGGGAUUGCCUGCAGAAAGGAUACAGCAGAAUAUCCUAGUAAAUACACUAGUACACCAUGGAACAUAGACCAGCAUAGGAUAUCCAAAUCAGCUGAAAUAUCAAAACAGAUUCCAAUUCUCAUUAUAUUUAUCAUUAACCUGGUUCUUUCCUCAAUUUUUUUUUUCUUUUUCUUUUUAGAGCAUUAUUGAUAUAUUAGGGUUUUUGUUUUUCUUUUUUAUAGGCGAAGAUCAACACACUGUGAAGAAAGAAAGUAAAUGCAUAGUAUUAUGAGAUGAAAUCAGGACAUACCCAAAGAUCUGCCCAUAAGCUAGCUCCAGACUUAGGAACAAUUACUGCAACAUUAGACAUGCGUUUGGCUGCAGGAAGGACAUCACUACUCCACCCAACAGCCACCCAUACAUCUCCCACACUAAGUGCUUUUAUAUAGUGUGUGCUGUCAAAGCAUCGUACCUAUAUAAAGCCAUUUGAAUGCGUAAGUCCCAUUAUUGAUAUAAAAAAUAACAACCAUUGUACCACUCCAAAUGCAAAAUAGCUUUUAUGGAAUUCAAUUUCUUUUUGUUUUUCCUUUUUGACAGCACAAAAAUGGUAAGUUACCCUUACAUAAGCCAUAACUCACAAGUUGUAUCAGACUGAUUACCGUAGUUUACAAAAUCCGGUAGAAUUGACUCAGAGACUCAAAGUUAAUACAUAACAUAUCAAGUCCCAGAGCAAUACCAUCCAGUUAUUUUUGGUUAAUCACAUGAUAUUUAUUUCUUCUAUUUUAUGUUUUUUUUCCUUUUUCCUUUCUUUUCUCCAUUUCUUUGAUGAACUCACGGCUCUCAUCCUGGAUGUAAGAAAUAUCUAGCCAAUGAACAAUACUUAUUAUUGCAUGAGCGUCAGAUAAAACAACCGACAUAAUCUCAAUACCUGUUUCGCAAGCAACAUAAGAUUCUGCUGUACAGCAUUCCUCCCACCAUUAACUUGCAAUUCAAUGUUGUCUGUGUUGUAGGAUGCUCCCAUGUACUUUAAAACAGCACCAACAACCUCUCGUGGAGAAUCAAUCAUUGAAAUCCUCCCUGCAAGUUCAGGUCGCCAUAAAUCUGCCCAGUCCUGCAACCAUCAACUACUUAGUCCCAGAAUAAUUUUUUAUAGAAAACAAAGUUUUUGAAAAAUCCAUAGCAAUAGCUAGAAGUUUUUAUAAUGAGAUGAGUUGAAGCCAUGGCAAUGACAAGCAAUUAUACGAAUUCAUGCCUUCCCAAAUAAUCGGACGAACAAAUGCAGUGGUUGUGGGGGUUCUAUAGGAGACACAAUUUGCUGUGGCAUUAUUGAAAAUAUUUAUUUAUUUAUUUUUUGAUACUUAAUAUUGUUGCUACUCUUAUUCCUUUGACUUGAAGAAAUUCAAACCUGGAAUUUCCCAAAUCCCAGUCCAACCAAUUGCCCCUUGAGCCAGGCAUUAUUGGAAGCAUUUAUGGACUGAAACAACAAUCACUUAGCUAACUUUGUGGGUACGUGAUCACAUGUUGUCCUAAGAAUUGUCCUAAGAAAGACAUCUCUUAAUGUCACCAAAAUUGUGCUUCCUAUGUUCAACUCAUUAUUGAUGUUGGAUUGAAAAUUGGUUUCUUGGAGAAUUGACAUUGGGAGGAUCUACCCCUUUGCCUUCUUUUGAUCCUUGUCAAUUUCCUUCCUCAGAACAGAGAUUUCCCAAUACCCACAAUUCUCCAUUCUGAAACUCAAACUUUCAGCUUCACCAAACUAAUCAAGAAGUUAAUGGCCUGUAUAUUCUAAUCCUUUCCUUAAACCACAUUUAUCUAUCUUCAUCCUUUCCAAAUGAAAGAAUAGGAUCCAUGGCCUUCAGUUUUUUCUAAGCUAAGCCCUACUUUUCUAGCCUUUCUAAAAGUGGCAACCCAACACUCCUUUGUCAUCACCAACUUUAUUUGAAGUCCAUGGCUAUUCCAAAAAUUGGGCCUUGGCAUAGUUUAUCUGAGAUUGAAGCUCAAGAAUGUAAAUUGUAUUUUCCAGAAAUAGAUUCCAAAAGAGGAACAGAUAAGAGAUUCUUGUUCAAAUGUUUAGUUAUCAUUAGGAAUUUGAGAUUCCCCUCUAUCUUAAUAUUUUAGUUGUAGGUUUUCUCAAUAUUAUGAGAGAAAUAGAAUUGAUAGAAAAAUUAUGAACACCCCUUCAAAACAUAUUUAUUAAUAACAAAAAGAUUUAUUUAUAGGGGAAUAAAAAUGGGGUUGUCUCUUUGAUUUUUUCCAUUUUCUAAAAUCAAGAAUAAAAUAUCAUGGGUGGAGUGGGUAGGAGAUCCAACCUUGUUUGGGAUGAACUCAUACCUAAGGGAAUUGAAUUAAAAUUUUCCAAGCAAUGUGUAUCCCAAAUAGGAUAAAUUUUAUAUUCGGCAAUACACAUCCAUUUUCCAGUUAAAAUGCCUAUGAAGCAAACCAGUUAUCAAGGUCUUUAAUGUGUUAAUGGCCCUCUAGGGGGUUGGUUGUAUUUGGAUAGCAACAACUUUUUGUUACCGUUUUGACUGCCCAAAGGAUUUCUGAUCUCAUCCCUCUUUAUAUCACAUCCUUUCAUGAUAAAUAAUAUGGGUCUCCUAUCAAAGAAAAAAAAUCAAAUUAUUAAACAAAGUUUCCUCUAGCCAUAGAUCAUUAUGAAGUGAAAUCAAUUCUUUUUUUAAUAGGUAACGUUCUUUUCUUUUGUUGCCAAUGGAACCUGGAACUUAGAACCUCCCACAUCUCCGCUUCAACCCUUUGCCCCUUUGAGCCAUGCCUCAAAGGUCAUAAUUUAUCAAUUAUGAAUUGAAGUGAGAAUACAGAUCAUUUCAUAAUCUGUUACAUUAACAGAACAUCUUAUGUUUUGAUAUUAAAUUUUGGUUACUUUUUUAUUCUAGAAUUAGAUUUUCUUUUAUAGAAGGGGAUUGGUCCAUACAUUGAGGUGGAUUUUUUUAUUUUUCAUUUGAAUUAAAAAGAUAAAGCAUUUUCUUUUUAAAAUUUUCUGCAAUUGAAUAUAUACUUUAUACAUUAAAUAUUCAAUUUAGGCCACAACUGAAAUCAGUCUCCUUUUGUACUACAUAUAAAUUUUUAUAAUAGCAUCCUUUGUUCUUGUUAGCUGUUACUUGAAAGUAGAACUCACAAAAGCAUUGGAAGGAAAGGCAAGGCUAAAUCUAGACUGUACUAAAUUAUGAGGACAAACGAAAAAAUGAAGGAAGAAAUAAUUGCAGAAGAGAAAACUGUGUUUAUUGCAAUUGCAAUUGCAAAAGAGAAAAUUGUUUUGAUUUCAAAAAUAGAUAUUUCAAUUAGGUUCAGGUGAAAUAACCAGAACACUCAUCCAGAUUAAAACAAAGUAAAAAAAGAGUAGAAUACUUUUACAAUAUAACAAUUACAAA
rnacentral:lncRNA from 1 species